AAAAAUAUCCUUCAAUUGAACAAGAAUGUUAAUUUUUUAAAAUCAGAAUAAAAAAUUUUAUAACUUGAUGCGAUUUGACCGUAAAUAGUGAAAACUCGCGCGAUGGGACAGCAACGGAAUUCCGCGACGUCGUCAGCUAAUUGUAAGCAUUCCCAAGUCGCUAAUUAGAAAACUAGAAACUGCGAACGUUAUCUCGCUCGGGAGAGAUAGCAAGCUUGGCGGAACAACGCGGCCGGAAGAACUAGAACCAUAUUGUUUGAAUUAUGAUGUAAAUAACUCAAAGCGAAGACAUUAGUAAGUCCCCCGCGGAAACUUCCCAAUGAAUGCACUGAUUCUGAACGAUUCUAUACGCGAUACAGUAUCAACGCGGAUACGCUGCAUACUAUACAUCCCAUUGCGCAGCGUAAAAUAAAACGAAAUUCUAUCGAAUCCGUAUUUUUUUCUUAUUUCGCAAAACUUGAAUUCUAGAAGGAAAAGAAAUUGAUUGUACAAUCUCUCAAAAUUUUAUUAAUGACGUAGAGUGUAUAAGUAACACUUUGAUAAGUGUGUCUCAGCAUUGCGACAUGCUGAUUCUUUCCUCGGUUUUAUCGUGUCAGCGAAACUGCUUCGCGAAACUCUCCGAGUAACUCGUCACCUUCAAGUCUGCUUGGAUCAGUCAUUCUAUAACGAAGUGUAUCGUGCGUGCUGUGCACAGAACAAAAUGACAGAAUUGGCAUUUAGCAGCUGUAUGCUUUUGGAACAUUCGCUGUCUUUGUAAAUUUGUUUUAGGACUUGAGUGCCGCUGCAAAUCCCACAUAUUAAAACUCACAAAUAUUUAAAAUACAGUAAUAAGUUUCGUGUAUUUGUGCACAGCUAACUACGAUUCCUUACAUAACAUUCCAUCAGUAUCCGACAACAAAGAUAUUGAACUAUUUCGUCUCUGCACGUUUGAUUCCGUUUCUCCAUUUCUAUUGACAUUUCGGAGGCGCGGUGUGGUUAUUUCCUGAAAAAUAACCCGGGCGAAAAGUAAGUCAGGAUCCGGAAAACCGUGAAGCGUUCCAAGAGUACAAUGUGCCAUUUAAGUUCCACGAUCCGUGGAGAGACACAGCGUGGAACGACUUGUCGCGGAGAAUUCUUCGUUUCGUGGCUCGAAUUUUGUUCAAUGAACUCGAAAAAAAA
rnacentral:lncRNA from 13 species